AGCGGCGGACGGGUUAGUACGGAACGUGCCCUUCUCUACGGAAUAGCCUCUGGAAACGGAGAGUAAUACCCGUAUACGCCCUUUGGGGGAAAGAUUUAUCGGAGAAGGAUCGGCCCGCGUUAGAUUAGGUAGUUGGUGGGGUAACGGCCUACCAAGCCUACGAUCUAUAGCUGGUUUUAGAGGAUGAUCAGCAACACUGGGACUGAGACACGGCCCAGACUCCUACGGGAGGCAGCAGUGGGGAAUCUUAGACAAUGGGGGCAACCCUGAUCUAGCCAUGCCGCGUGAGUGAUGAAGGCCUUAGGGUCGUAAGCUCUUUCGCUGUGAUGAUAUGCAGUAGCGGUAAGAAACCCGGCUAACUCCGUGCAGCAGCGCGGUAUACGGAGGGGGUUACGUUGUCGGAAUACUGUGCGUAAGCGCGCGUGGCGGAUUAAAAGUUGGGGUGAAUCCCGGGCUCAACCCGGAACUGCCUCAAACUGUAGUUAAAGUCGAAAAGGUGGUGGA
rnacentral:rRNA from 1 species